CCUACGGGAUGCAGCAGUGGGGAAUUUUCCGCAAUGGGCGAAAGCCUGACGGAGCAACGCCGCGUGAGGGAUGAAGGCCUCUGGGCUGUAAACCUCUUUUCUCAAGGAAGAAGAUCUGACGGUACUUGAGGAAUAAGCCACGGCUAAUUCCGUGCCAGCAGCCGCGGUAAUACGGGAGUGGCAAGCGUUAUCCGGAAUUAUUGGGCGUAAAGCGUCCGCAGGCGGCCCUUCAAGUCUGCUGUUAAAACGUGGAGCUUAACUCCAUCAUGGCAGUGGAAACUGUUGGGCUCGAGUGUGGUAGGGGCAGAGGGAAUUCCCGGUGUAGCUGUGAAAUGCGUAGAUAUCGGGAAGAACACCAGUGGCGAAGGCGCUCUGCUGGGCCAUAACUGACGCUCAUGGACGAAAGCCAGGGGAGCGAAAGGGAUUAGAUACCCGCGUAGUC
rnacentral:rRNA from 1 species